GAUGAACGCUGGCGGCGUGCUUAACACAUGCAAGUCGAACGGGAAACCUUUUAUUGAAGCUUCGGCAGAUUUAGCUGGUUUCUAGUGGCGGACGGGUGAGUAACGCGUGGGUAACCUGCCUUAUACAGGGGGAUAAUAACCAGAAAUGGUUGCUAAUACCGCAUAAGCGCACAGGACCGCAUGGUCCGGUGUGAAAAACUCCGGUGGUAUAAGAUGGACCCGCGUUGGAUUAGCUAGUUGGCAGGGUAACGGCCUACCAAGGCGACGAUCCAUAGCCGGCCUGAGAGGGUGAACGGCCACAUUGGGACUGAGACACGGCCCAGACUCCUACGGGAGGCAGCAGUGGGGAAUAUUGCACAAUGGGGGAAACCCUGAUGCAGCGACGCCGCGUGAAGGAAGAAGUAUCUCGGUAUGUAAACUUCUAUCAGCAGGGAAGAUAGUGACGGUACCUGACUAAGAAGCCCCGGCUAACUACGU
rnacentral:rRNA from 1 species